GGAAUUGUUCACAAUGGGCGCAAGCCUGAUGACGCAACGCCGCGUGGAGGAUGAAGGUCUUCGGAUUGUAAACUCCUGUUGCUCGGGACGAAAAGCGUCGACCUAAUACGUCGACGUCUGAAGGUACCGAGUCAGGAAGCCCCGGCUAACUAUGUGCCAGCAGCCGCGGUAAUAAAGAGGGGGCAAGCGUUGUUCGGAAUUACUGGGCGUAAAGGGCGCGUAGGCGGCCUGUUAAGUCGAACGUGAAAUCCCCGGGCUCAACCCGGGAACUGCGUCCGAUACUGGCAGGCUUGAAUUCGGGAGAGGGAUGCGGAAUUCCAGGUGUAGCGGUGAAAUGCGUAGAUAUCUGGAGGAACACCGGUGGCGAAGGCGGCAUCCUGGACCGAGAUUGACGCUGAGGCGCGAAAGCCAGGGGAGCAAAC
rnacentral:rRNA from 1 species